UAAGGAAUAUUGGACAAUGGUCGCAAGACUGAUCCAGCCAUGCUGCGUGCAGGAGGACGGCCCUAUGGGUUGUAAACUGCUUUUGUACCAGAGAAAACCUAUCUACGUGUAGAUAGCUGAUAGUAUGGUAAGAAUAAGCAUCGGCUAACUUCGUGCCAGCAGCCGCGGUAAGACGAAGGAUGCAAGCGUUAUCCGGAUUCAUUGGGUUUAAAGGGUGCGUAGGCGGGCUUGUAAGUCAGUGGUGAAAUCUCUCAGCUUAACUGAGAAACGGCCAUUGAUACUGCAGGCCUAGAGUAUAGAUGACGUUGGCGGAAUAUGACAUGUAGCGGCGAAAUACUUAGAUAUGUCAUAGAACACCGAGUGCGAAGGCAGCUAACGAAACUAUAACUGACGCUGAGGCACGAAAGUGCGGGGAUCAAACA
rnacentral:rRNA from 1 species